UACGGAGGGAGCUAGCGUUGUUCGGAAUUACUGGGCGUAAAGCGUGCGCAGGCGGUUUCGUAAGUCAGAUGUGAAAUCCCCGGGCUCAACCUGGGAACUGCGUUUGAAACUACAAGGCUAGAGUGUAGCAGAGGGGGGGUAGAAUUCCACGUGUAGCAGUGAAAUUCGUAGAUAUCGGGAGGAACACCGGUGGCGAAGGCGGCGAUCUGGGUCGAUACUGACGCUGAGGUGCGAAAGCGUGGGGAGCAAACAGG
rnacentral:rRNA from 1 species